AUGAAUACAUACACACAUACAAAAAAGCAGCCAAGACGAAUGAUUUUCUGUUUUUAUAGAUUAAAAUUGAAGACAAAAGCAGCUGGUAAAUGCAGUCACUUUAAUAUUCAAAUCCAGUAUCAUGAUCCACUUCAGAUUUAUUUCUCAACAGUUUAUGUUCACGUGACUGUUUUCGUUUAUAUUCACCAAGCUAUUAUGUAUUUUGAAAUAAUCUUGUACGUGAUUUGUUCGUUCUUGCGACGAAAAGCCAGAAUCAGCGUCCUCUGGCGCUCGAGAGAUCGAUGUGAUGUUCAGCCCUUAGACAAAGAAAAUCUCACAAGCACUCAUAAACACUCAUUUUCAUCUCUAUAAUAUGUUCUUCUAAUUGUUUUUGUGUUGAUUCGCCGUAGUGUUUUUGAUGUAAAAGGCUGUAGUUUCUGUAUGUAGACUUUUUUUCCCUUCAAGUGUUCAGACGUCUCGCGCUGUCAGACAGGCUGCAGCAAAUAUUUCAUUUUAACACUCACAAACAUCUGAAUUUAGCUCUUGGUGUGUUCUAAUUGGUGGAUUGUGUGCAAUCGCCGUAAUAUUUUAUUUUUAAAAGGUCUUAAACAAGAAUAAACUCGUUUGUUGUGAGCUCGUUGAGACUGCACGCGCUGAUGCAGCGGUGAUUUAUCUCUCGUCUAUCUCACUGUUCUCUGUGGCCAGACAUCGAUUAUUAAUAGGCCCUGACCCGGUCAUAAUAAGAUGUGUUGGUUUAGCUUGUCAGUGUGAAUUAAAUUGAUUUAUUUAUUUGUAUUUUUUUUAACCGAUUUAAAAAGUGAAACUAAGCGAGACUCCUCCCUCUCAGUCCCGGGAAUUGCUCCUGUAGAGGCGCAAUUUUCUCUCAGACAAUGGAAAGUCUCAGCACACAUACACUCCUCACACAGAGCCAAAAAAAUCCAUAUUCAAAUCAAAAAUAGCCGACUUCCUGUUGGUCGUAGCUAAUGACUGUAAAUUAGAAAGUUGUCCGUCUUAAUAAGAACAAUAUAUGUACCGAGUUUGGUGUCUGUAGCUAAAACUAAGCCCCCCACUUUUUGACAAAAGGUGGCGCUAUAGAGUGCCUCCUCCACGCCCUUUUUAUGACCUUUUGCCAGUGUCUAGCUAUCAUUAAUACUGAUAUGUGUUCUGAGUUUCAUGAAAUUCUAAGCAUGUUAUCUGCCUCAAAAAUCAGAAUAUAUUAUACGGAAAAAAAUAUUCCAGUUUGAUAUGUUGCCAUGGCAACACUAUAUUAGAUAUCAAUAUCCCCUCAACAGUUUUACAUGGGCCGUGUUUUUGUCAUUAUUCUGAUGAAGUUUGAAGCAAAUUGAGUAAAAAUAAGAUGCUGAAUUCAAAGCAUUUUGAAAAUGACACACUUCCUGCUGCCAGUUGGUGGCGCUAUAAUUUUGACUCCUAAUAGUCACAUAUAUGCGAUCGGCAUCAUACAACGAACAAAUUGAUGAAGUUUAAUUAAAAAUCAGGAAAUGUAUGUGGAUGUUAUUGCCUCCUGUUUCUCAUUUCUCGCCAUAAUUUCAACGCCUCGCCACGAGCAAACCGUUCGAGAUAUCAAAAAAAUCCCCUGGCAAUUUUGCAUCCCCAAUGUCUUGAGAUCAUGUUGACCAAGUUUGGUGGCAAUCGGGUAAAAAACCUAUGACAAGUAUAUCAAAUUCCAGAGCAUGCACUUUUUACAUAGCUCUAAAUAGCUGACUUCCUGUUGGGUGGAGCCUAUGACAUGCAAUACGAAAGUUGUUCGGCACAAUGAGAUCUAUAUGUGUACUGAGUUUCAUAUGAAUACGUGCAAGUAUGUUUGAACUAUACAUCAACAUUUCUGACUGUGUUCCAGGGGGCGCCGUAGAGCCCCUGUGCCACGCCCGGGUCUCAGCCUCUGCAGCCUCCUAAUGGCCACAGAUUCUAAGGUGUGUGCAAAUUUUCAAGAGUUUUUGAGCAUGUUAAGGGGCCCCAAAAGCCCCCACAACUUUGACGAAAAAUAAGAAUACUAAACCCUAAAUAGCCAACUUCCUGUUGGGCGGAGCCUAUGACAUGCAGUACGAAAGUUGUUUGGCUUGAUGAGAUCUAUAUGUGUACCGAGUUUCAUACGUCUACGUGCAAGUAUGUAUGAUAUAUGGCCCUCCAUAUUCCAGGGGGCGCUGUAGAGCCCCUGUGCCACGCCCGUGUAUCAGUCUCUGCCCGGCCCUAAUGGCCGCAGGUUCCAAUGUGUGUGCCAAUUUUCAAGAGUUUUCGAGUAUGUUAAGGGCCCCAAAAGCCCCCGAGACGUUGGAAAAAAAUAAUAAUAAUAAUAAUAAAUAUAGCUGCAAGCAGCAAUGGCGGGCUCAAGCCAUCAGCGCAAACACCGCCCCGGUGGCAUCAGGAAAAUUGUGCCCAGCGGGCACAUGCAUUUACAGUAACUCUAUGGCAGUCUGGUUUUAAGGAUUCAGCAAAUAAAGGGUUAAUCCAAACCAUCAAGACUAUGAAAGACACACACACACACACAGAACAAUAUAUAAAACUUUAGUAACACUUUUAAUAAGGUUUCAGUUAUUAACAUUAACUAUAUUAAUUAACAUGAACAAUAAUUAUAUAGCAUGUCAAUGUCAGUUAAUAGUCAAAACUUUAAAAAAAAAUUAUCUGUUAACAUUAGUUAAUGCACUGUGAACUAAAAUCAACAAACAUUAAUAAAUUCUGUGAAAAUAUAUUGUUCAUGUUAAUUUACUAAUGUUUACAAAUUACACCUUAUUAUAAAGUGUUACUAAAACCUUUAUUGAUUUACACUGUGUGCACAAUUAUUAGGCAUGUUGAUAAUCUGAUUUUUUUUUCCCAAGCACAUUUUACCAAUUCCCAACGACAUCAAUCUUAAUAACUACCAUUAAUUUUGUAUUCAAUCAUUUAUGAGUGAUAUAUAAUUGUCCAUGAAGGCUGGAAGAGAAAAACUCCUUAUAUUCAGGUGUGCAGAAUUAUUAGGCAAUUCUUUUUUUUACAGAUGAAAUGAGCCAAAAAAGAGUUGUAACUCAGACUGAAAAGUCAAAAAAUCCCCAUGAAAAUUAUUCAAAACUAUUGCAAUACAGAAAUUGACAGGUGGAGAAAAGACACAAGUUAACUGCAAAAGAAUUAAGAAUUAAGACUUUUCAGAAUAGAAGAUGGAAUAAAAA
ensembl:lncRNA